GUGAAAAUGCUUGAAAAAUGUAAUGUAUUUCAAUGUCUUCUUAAUCUUUGUUCUUUGAAGAACCAGGAUCAUUUAUUGAAACUGACUGUUUCCAGUUUGGAUUACAGCAGAGAUGGAUUAGCAAGAGUCAUCCUUUCUAAAAUCCUAACAGCAGCUACUGAUAGCUGCAGGUUGUAUGCAACAAAACACUUACGAGUAUUACUGAGAGCAAACGUAGAGUUCUUCAGCAACUGGGGGAUUGAGUUACUGGUGACCCAGAUACAUGAUAAAAAUAAA